rnacentral:rRNA from 1 species
GCAAGGCACCGGCGCACGGCUCAGUAACACGCGGAUAAUCUAUCCUCUGGUGAGGGAUAACCUCGGGAAACUGAGGCUAAUACCUCAUAGACAUUCAAUUCUGGAAAGAUUGAAUGUUGAAAGCGCAAGUGCCAGAGGGUGAGUCUGCGGCCUAUCAGGUAGUAGGUGGUGUAAUGGACCACCUAGCCUAAGACGGGUACGGGCCUUGAGAGAGGGAGCCCGGAGAUGGGUUCUGAGACACGAACCCAGGCCCUACGGGGCGCAGCAGGCGCGAAACCUUCGCACUGCGCGAAAGCGCGACGAGGGGAGACCGAGUGCCUCUCCUUUUUGGGGAGGCUUUUCGCAAGCCUAAAAAGCUUGUGGAAUAAGGGGAGGGCAAGUCUGGUGUCAGCCGCCGCGGUAAUACCAGCUCCCCGAGUGGUCGGGACGUUUAUUGGGCCUAAAGCGCCCGUAGCCGGCCCGAUGUGUCUCCCGUCAAAUCCGCCGGCUCAACCGGCGGACCGCGGGGGAUACUAUCGGGCUAGGGGGCGGGAGAGGUCGGAGGUACUCCCGGGGUAGGGGUAAAAUCCUCUGAUCCCGGGAAGACCACCGGUGGCGAAGGCGUCCGGCCAGAACGCGCCCGACGGUGAGGGGCGAAAGCUGGGGGAGCGAACCGGAUUAGAUACCCGGGUAGUCCCAGC